UUCUCUACGUAAUAAGCAGCUGAUGUUCGUUUGCUUUGUGAGUGAUGUGUCCACUGCAUGAUUAGUGGUUUUUUAAAUCCCAAAUAUAUUAGAUGAAAUUUACCUGGGCAUUGUUUGCUGUUUGACGAGUGGAGCGGCAGUAGCUGUUGCUAUUUGCUGUGGGUUUUAUCGACAGAAGGUUGGAAUUGAGCUCACAUCAACGUCCUGCAUAACUCAAGACACUGAGCGUGAGGGAGCACCGAGAAAGUUUGAAGACUCCGAACUGCAGGUAUUGCUUGAUGAAGAUUCGAACCAAACGAACGAACAAUUCGCAAGCAGGUUAAAAGUUACUGUACCAACCAUUUUCAAUAGUCUUGGGACAGAUCCGCAAGCUUGGAAAAUUGGUUUCCUACACGUUGAACUAUAAGAGAGACAUGGAACGACGAACAAUCACUUGUGAAGUCCUUCUGCAAAGGCAACAAACAAAGGGACUCGGGGUUCGUAUAGUCAGUGGAGAUAAGCUGGAUGAA